rnacentral:lncRNA from 1 species
UGAACUAAAUUAAUUCUCAACUUUAUUCAACCAUCACCUACCCUUUUGUAUUAAAUAUAAUAUCCGUUUAGAAUAGCACAAAGAAUAAGUACACACACAUAUAGUCUUAGAACUAACCUUAGACUACAAUAUCUACAAAAUCAUACAACCAUUCUAUGCCACACUUCAUAGUUUCCAAUUUCUUAUCUUAUUUAUAGUUCCCUGCCAUUCACUAAAUCAAUCCAUCGAACUAAGAACAGGACAUUAAUAUCUAAACUACAAACACCUACUCAUGUAUCCACACCACAUUACCUUAACCAAAUAAUUCUGCUCAUUAAUCGAGUAAUUGAGCACAAAUAAUAUACAAAACUCAUUCAAGAAAAUUUAUCUUAUUCUUACAACCCAAAUAUAUUGGUUGUAUCCAUCCAAACACCUUUCCCGCUGCCAACACAUGGAAUCUUCCAUCAAUAUAUGUGAUGCAUACGUUUUAUAGCACAGGUCUGUGCUACUCAAUUAAACCUAGCCUACCUGGACAUGAAAAAGUUGAUAUGGAGAUAUGAACUUGAGAUUUUGGCUCCGUUCUUUUGAUUUCCAAAGUGAAAUCCAUGAGAAAGAAUUAGGUUCUACUGUGUCCGAGCAUACUUCUUCUUCUUCAUUGCUCUAGAGCUAUAAGGCCACCCUAGGGUUUUUUAGAAUAAAGCACAAUCCUCUUUUACAAUUUAAGAAAGGACGAACAAUAAAGAAAAAUUGGGACUAUUUCUAGUUCUUGAUGUCCUGCUAUAGCAGCCUGCAGGCUACUACCACGACGUCUCUAUAUUGAGAUGAUGUGGGCCACCCUAUAAAUUCUUAUUCUAAAAUUAUAUAACCAAGAGUUUUAUGCAGCUAUUUCAAUGGUAUUUUGAAUUUCCCAUACCUAUGGCCCUGUAGUGAUUCGAGCGAGGAAUUAUGGUAGGUUAUGGUUUAUUUGUAGCAAAAAAAAACUUACUUAAGUCUAUGCUUGUAAGUGUUUUUAAUUUCUUUUAGACAGUACUAAAUAUUAUUGAUUGUAUUUGUGAUUCAUUGAUGUUAAUGUUGAAUAUUAUAAUGUUAUAGAGUUGAAUUGGAGAUAUUGAUGAUGAGAAGGCGAUAAUGAUGAUAGUGAUGUUGAGAAUGAUCUUGAUGAUGAGGAUGAUAUAAUUGAUGAUGAUAUUAAGAUCAUAGUAAGUGAUACUUACAUCUUGCAUGCAUGUAUUCAUCAUAUGCAUUGAACGGAUAUUCAUACUUAUAUAUGGUGAUAGGUCUUGUGGAUGAAUUUCACUAAGUGUAGAAUAUGUACUUGUGAACAUAUAUUCCUCCUCAAGUGUAGUGUCAUAUCUAUGGUUGAUUUUCCUUUAAGUUCUACCUUGAUCGUUGUUACAUAAUUUUUGUUUGCCUAUUUGUAUAGUAUUGAGUUGGGUCGACCUAUGAUGCCUAAUAGUACUUAGUUAAUGUACUGAUGCUACCUGUGCUCAUUUCUAAUUGAGUGUAGAGUGUGUUCCAGCAUUUGAGAGGAGACCUCAACUCUAACCAGCAGUUGCAGACUUUGAUUCAAAGGUGAGCAUCAUGACCAUGAAGUCAUUGAAUCUUCUGACUUAUGUUUAUGUACUUUGUUCCAAGACUAAAAUAUUCUUGUACUUUCUUUUAUGUUUUGGAUAAUCUUUUAGACAUAAUUUUUGACAUCUUAGUUGUUCUUAUAUGCAACUUUAAGUCCUGUCUUUUGUAAUAAAUAGAGAUAUUCC